AGUGAACGCUGGCGGUAGGCCUAACACAUGCAAGUCGAACGGCAGCACAGUAAGAGCUUGCUCUUACGGGUGGCGAGUGGCGGACGGGUGAGGAAUACAUCGGAAUCUACUUUUUCGUGGGGGAUAACGUAGGGAAACUUACGCUAAUACCGCAUACGACCUACGGGUGAAAGCAGGGGAUCUUCGGACCUUGCGCGAUUGAAUGAGCCGAUGUCGGAUUAGCUAGUUGGCGGGGUAAAGGCCCACCAAGGCGACGAUCCGUAGUUGGUCUGAGAGGAUGAUCAGCCACACUGGAACUGAGACACGGUCCAGACUCCUACGGGAGGCAGCAGUGGGGAAUAUUGGACAAUGGGCGCAAGCCUGAUCCAGCCAUACCGCGUGGGUGAAGAAGGCCUUCGGGCUGUAAAGCCCUUUUGUUGGGAAAGAAAAGCAGCAGGUUAAUACCCCGCUGUUCUGACGGUACCCAAAGAAUAAGCACCGGCUAACUUCGUG
rnacentral:rRNA from 1 species